rnacentral:lncRNA from 1 species
UCAGACAGGGCCUGGAAGCCAGCACCUGUGCACCCACCCAAGCUGGCACCAGUACACCAACAGAAGCCCGCACCAGCCAAGGCCUGGAAAUAGGCGCUAGUGCACCCACCCAAGCCAGCAUCAGCCAAGCCCUGGAAACCGACACAAGUGCACCCACCCAAGCCAGCACCGGCAAAGACCUAGAAGAUGUCACUAGGCAAGGCCUGGACGCAGGCACCAGUGCACCCACCCAAGCCGGCACCAGCCAAGGCCUGGAAGCAGGAAUCAGAGAAGGCCUGGAAACCGGCACGAGCCAAAGCCAGGAAGCCGGCAGCAGCCCUUGGAUGCUGGCUCCAGUGCACCCACCCAAGCCAACACCAGCCAAGGUCUGGAUGCUGGCACCUGUGCACCCACCCAGGCCGGUACAAGUGCACCCACCCAAGCCGGCACCAGCCAAGCCUGACAGUCAAAAGUAGAAGAGGCCUGGAAGGCGGCACCAGUGCACCCACCCAAGCCGGAACCAACCAAGGCCUGGACGCCGGCACCAGCUAUGGUCUGGAAGGCACGACCAGUGCACCCACCCAAGCUUCCACCAGCCAAGGCCUGGAAGCUGGCACCAGCCUAGGCCUGGAAGCCGGCACCAGAGCACCCACACAAGCUGGCACAAGUGUACCAAUCUAAGGGGGCACCCGCAAAGGACUAGUAGCCGGCACCAGCCAAGGCCUGGAAGCCAGCACCAGUGCACACACUGAAGACGGUACCUGCAUAAGCGUGGACGCCAUCACCAGUGGUCCCACCCAAGCCGGCACCAGCCAAGGCCUGGAUGCCGUCAACAGCCAAGGCCUGGAGGCCAGCAACAGCCAAGGCCCGGAAGCCAGCAAUUGUGCACCCACCCAAGCUGGCACAAGUGAACCCACCCAAUCCGGCACCAGUGCACCAACACAAGCCCGCACCAGCCUAGGCCUGGAAGCUGGCAUCAGCCAAGGCCUGGUAACCGGCACCAGCCAAAGCCAGGAAGCGGCACUAGCCAAGGCUUGGAAGCCAGCACCAGCCAAGGCCUGGAAGCCGGCACCUGUGCACCCACCCAAGCAUGCACCAGCCAAGGCCUGGAAGCUGGCAUCAGCCAAGGCCUGGGAGCCGGCACCAGCCAAGACCUGGGAGCCACCACCAGUACACCCACCCAAGCCGGCACAAGUGCAACCAUCUAAGGGGGCACCCGCGAAGGACUAGGAGCCGGCACCAGCGAAGGCCUGGGAGCCAGCACCAGUGCACACACCGAAGCCGGUACCUGCCUAAGCGUGGACGCCAUCACCAGUGCACCCACCCAAGCCGUUACCAGCCUAGGCCUGGAAGCUGGCACCUGUGCAGCCACCCGUGCCGGCACCCGCAAA